rnacentral:tRNA from 1 species
UGUCCAAUGCGGGAAUCGAACCCGGGUCGUAGUGGUCGAAAACCAAACUGUUUACCAGCCUUCCACCGACCCCGAC